GGGCAGAGGCAGGACAGGGUCCAGGGGCAGCACUGCUCCGUGGGGCAAAAGCUGCUGUUCCUGCCCAGCUUCCCCCUCAGACCCGCCAGGAAAGGGGCUGGAUGCCUCCCAGGAGGUGACUCAGAGCUAUGGCUACAGAAGCUGUGGUAGCAUUUUUUGGCAUGUGACUGGAAGACAGAGGAGAAAAGUUUAAAACUUCAGAGCCACCUGUGAUUUGCACAGCAGAUAUUCAAACAGAGAAGCAAGAUGCUCUGGAAAUGAAAUUAAAUUUGCAGGGAAAUAAUUUUCAAUAGCUGAUGCUUCCUCCUUGAAGAUGAGAAAUGGAGUCCUUUCCGUCACCACUGGUUGUGCUGGAAUUUCAUGGGCUCUCAUCAUAACCCUGUUUCUAUGUCUUACACAUCCAUAAUGAGAAGAAGGUGGCAAAGAACAAGAGAUCAAAACCAGCAAGGCAGAUGACAGCUGACUGAAAUCAAAUCAGUAAAUCACCCAAAGGCAAAAGUAAGUGUAAUGAGGCCAAUCACCUUAUUAUAAAGCCAGACCUUCAAACUGAAGAUUCUCAUCAGUCCUGGAGGCUAAAUUGUCUGUCAGAUAUUUACUAAGCUAAAAGGCAGUCCAGAAAAAUAACCCAACCCACCAUUUAAAAGGUGAUGAUGUUGGUCACUGUGGAUUCACAAUAAGCACCUUGAUGGUGGCUUCCUGAAAAUAUGAAUGUUUUUAAAUGUGAAGAAACAAUUUUUUAAAUCGUUUCCUCACUUAAAAACUGCUUGCCCUUAACAUUGCUGUUACUUUCCUUGGUAAGCUUCUACAGAAGUUGGAGGACCUCUGCAUUGUCCUGUAACAUAAAUCACACACAAGAACGAGGUAUAAACCAGAAUCUUGAACUUGAAAAGCCCAUGUUUUCAAGGCAAAACAGUGUAUCUCUGGCCUUGUUAAA